rnacentral:rRNA from 1 species
UUAUUCCUACGGGACGCAGCAGUCGGGAAUAUUGCACAAUGGGGGAAACCCUGAUGCAGCGACGCCGCGUGAGUGAAGAAGUAUUUCGGUAUGUAAAGCUCUAUCAGCAGGGAAGAAAAUGACGGUACCUGACUAAGAAGCCCCGGCUAACUACGUGCCAGCAGCCGCGGUAAUACGUAGGGGGCAAGCGUUAUCCGGAUUUACUGGGUGUAAAGGGAGCGUAGGCGGCAAGGUAAGCCAGAAGUGAAAGCCCGCGGCUCAACUGCGAGACUGCUUUUGUAAC